rnacentral:snRNA from 1 species
GUGCUCACUGAGACAGCACAUAUACUAAAAUUGGAGUGAUACAGAGAAGAUUAGGAUGGCUCCUGCUCAAUAAUGACAUGCAAAUUCAUGAAGUAUUUCAUUUUUUU